GUGAAAACAUGUGGUGAAGCAUCGGACAAGCUGGAAAGGGACAAGGAAAAGACAGCAGCAGAGGCUCGAGUUCCGUCGAUCCGCCACACGGCUAACGAUUGGUCGCAGGCCGCACGGCCCAGCAGAGGAGAUAGAAGUGCCUUCACGAUUUGUCUAUUUACCCCCCUGUAUUUCCUAAAUGUCUGGUCUGGUCUGGUCGCCAAAGGAGAUAAGCCUGCAGAAUGCCUUUACGGAACAGUAAGUCAUCUGAGAGACCGGUGGG